UACGGGGGGGGCAAGCGUUGUCCGGAUUUAUUGGGCGUAAAGAGCUCGUAGGCGGCUCGUUGCGUCGGCUGUGAAAACCCGCAGCUCAACUGUGGGCUUGCAGCUGAUACGGGCGGGCUGGAGUUCGGUAGGGGAGACUGGAAUUCCUGGUGUAGCGGUGAAAUGCGCAGAUAUCAGGAGGAACACCGGUGGCGAAGGCGGGUCUCUGGGCCGAUACUGACGCUGAGGAGCGAAAGCGUGGGGAGCGAACAGG
rnacentral:rRNA from 1 species